rnacentral:lncRNA from 1 species
UCAUGGAGAAAUAAUUGCUUAUGGAGAGGGAGAGAAUGGAACACACACUUUUUAGAUAGAUGGACAUGUGCAAGUGGCAAAUGAAUGAUCCCGAGGCACAAAUGAAGUCCUCGUUAUCGGAUUGCACAUGGUUGGAAAAUGAGUAUGGAUUAACAUUUAGGGCAUUGGAAACCUUAUGAAGCCCAAAGAACUGAAGGGCAUUUUUAUUCUUAUUUUUCUUCAUCUUUCUUUCAUUAUUUUUGCACUUUUUCUUCUUUUUCUUAACUCAUUUUUUCUUUUUCUUCCCUUUUCUUUUUUUCCUUUUGCCUCCUCAAAACUUUUUUUUGCAAAAUAAUACUUAUUCAGCAGUAGUCAGAGAUAAUGUGAUGACUCUAUCCUCCCAUGCUUGAACAAUGCUCGUCCUCAAGCAUGAAUGAGAGAAUAAAAUGAUUGCCGAUGUAAGUAUAGAAUCCUUUGGUCUUCCACACCAAGAAUUGGAGCUUUCGGAGGAGGGAACCACUGAGGCCAAUCGGCC